rnacentral:rRNA from 1 species
CCUACGGGAGGCAGCAGUGAGGAAUAUUGGUCAAUGGCCGAAAGGCUGAACCAGCCAAGUCGCGUGCGGGAUGACGGCCCUACGGGUUGUAAACCUCUUUUGCCCGGGAGCAACGCGCGUGACGCGUCCCGCCUCGAGAGUACCCGGCGAAUAAGGACCGGCUAAUUCCGUGCCAGCAGCCGCGGUAAUACGGAGGGUGCGAGCGUUAUCCGGAUUUAUUGGGGUUAAAGGGGGCGUAGGCGGAAGUUCAAGUCAGCGGUAAAAUUUCGGGGCUCAACCCCGUCGUGCCGUUGAAACUGGGGUUCUUGAGUGGGCGAGAAGCAGGCGGAAUUCGUGGUGUAGCGGUGAAAUGCUUAGAUAUCGCGCAGAACCCCGAUUGCGAAGGCAGCGUGCCGGCGCGACACUGACGCUGAGGCACGAAAGCGUGGGUAUCGAACAGGAUUAGAUACCCGUGUAGUC